UGGAUAUCGAUCACAUACCAUAAAAUGGCAAAAUUUGCUUUUGCGUUGGUCGUAAUUUUUUGUAUUGGUGUUAUUAUUGAAGGAGCAAAGUUAACAAGGGAAAGAGAAAGUAAUUUAAUAGAUAAUUUCUCAUCGCUCAACUUUGACGUGAGACGCAAUUUGAAAGUUGUUCAAAAAAAUUUAACAUUAAAGAAGCAAAUUGCAUUAAUAAAAGGGCAAAUAAAGACAUUGAAACAAUAUCACAAAAAUCUACAAACACAAACAAAGCACCUUCAAGCAUUUAAAAUUGCGCUUCAUUCCAAAAUCAACAAGACACAUGUACAAACGCACAAAUUAGUAAAAUUGCAAAAACAAAUUAAGAAAAUUGAACUUAAAAUGAUUAAUUUGUCAUUAAAAAUGAAAACAAUCGAUGUGAAAGUAGCAACAAUUCAAGCACAGCUAAAAAAACUAGAAAAACAACUGAAA